UAUCGUCACAAAACUGACAGUGAGUUAAUUUUUGUUAACAACUUAUGCUAAUUGGGGGGUCCCAAAUUCUGAAAAUGCCCACUAACGAGCGAUUUUUGGUCGGCUAGAGCCGAUUCCGCGUCGAUACGUUUGGGGAAACCUUUUUUCUCGCACAUUUAAAUUAGGCCCAAUGUUGCACCAUACAUGUAUGUAUGUACUAUUUUCAUUUAAUAAAAAAAAAUAUGCUCAUAUAUGUAAGGUAAUUAAAUAUUAUUUUAAUUUAAAAACGAUAUUGCUUCGGAAUUUCCAUAUUUAAAUCACUAAUUAAUACUAUUUUAUUAAGUAUAAGAAACAGUCGAUUGACUGUUUGGACAAGUCACGUGGUCUGUCACGCGACUUGUCCAAACGGAUCGAUUGAGGGGGGAGUUUGGCGGGAACGGCCGGCUAUAAAACACAAGCGAGUACCUGAGUAAUUCAUUCUGUUACGAGCAUUUAAACGAGACGGACCUCUGGAGUCAUUGUAAUUGGAUGGAAAUAAUUGUAAAUAUUGUUCUGUGGGAAUUGGAAAAUACAUGUUGGUAUUAAAUUGAUGUGAUGUUUUUGUCCUGGCCUAAUGAUCCCUUCAUAUAGGUACCUACAACAACAUAUUUUCUAUUGGAUAUAGAUCACAUAGAUUCCUCUUAAAAAAAGUAUGAAGCACAAGAUAAUAUCACAAAGAAAAUUUUAAUAAUGUCAAAUUAAAUACAACACCAAACAUAAUAAAA